AUUGAACGCUGGCGGCAUGCUUUACACAUGCAAGUCGAACGCGGCCGGGGGGCAACUUCUGGCCGAGUGGCGAACGGGUGAGUAAUACAUCGGAACGUACCCCGUUGUGGGGGAUAACCCACCGAAAGGUGGGCUAAUACCGCAUACGCCCUUUGGGGGAAAGCGGGGGACCGCACGGCCUCGCGCGCUGGGAGCGGCCGAUGCCGGAUUAGCUAGUAGGUGGGGUAAAGGCCGACCUAGGCGACGAUCCGUAGCUGGUCUGAGAGGAUGAUCAGCCACACUGGGACGGAGACACGGCCCAGACUCCUACGGGAGGCAGCAGUGGGGAAUUUUGGACAAUGGGCGCAAGCCUGAUCCAGCCAUGCCGCGUGAGUGAAGAAGGCCUUCGGGUUGUAAAGCUCUUUCGGCCGGAACGAAAUCGCAUCCUCUAAUACGGGGUGUGGAUGACGGUACCGGAAGAAGAAGCACCGGCUAACUACGUGCCAGCCGCCGCAGUAAAAC
rnacentral:rRNA from 1 species